CCUACGGGUGGCAGCAGUGAGGAAUAUUGGUCAAUGGGCGCGAGCCUGAACCAGCCAAGUCGCGUGAGGGAAGACGGUCCUAUGGAUUGUAAACCUCUUUUGUCGGGGAGCAAAAGACGCCACGCGUGGCGUUCCGAGAGUACCCGAAGAAAAAGCCCCGGCUAACUACGUGCCAGCAGCCGCGGUAAUACGUAGGGGGCAAGCGUUAUCCGGAUUUACUGGGGGUAAAGGGGGCGCAGGCGGGAAUGCAAGCCAGGAGUGAAAGCCCGGGGCCCAACCCCGGGACUGCCCUUGGAACUGGAUGGCUGGAGUACAGGAGGGGCAGGCGGAAUGCGUAGUGUAGCGGUGAAAUGCGUAGAUAUUAGGAGGAACACCGGUGGCGAAGGCGGCCUGCUGGACUGUGACUGACGUUGAGGCCCGAAGGCGUGGGGAGCAAACAGGAUUAGAUACCCCAGUAGUC
rnacentral:rRNA from 1 species